GAUAGGUUAAGUUAAUAAGGGCGCAUGGUGGAUGCCUUGGCACUAGAAGGCGAUGAAGGACGUGACUAACUACGAUAUGCCUCGGUUAGCUGUAAGUAAGCUUACCCGGGGGUUUCCGAAUGGGGCAACCCGAUCUUAAUGAUCAUCAUCUUUUUGAAUUCAUAGAUUAGAUGAAGCAAACGCUGUGAACUGAAACAUCUAAGUAGCAGUAGGAAAGUAAAGAAAUUUCGAUUCCGUCAGUAGCGGCGAGCGAACGCGGAAGAGCCCAAACCUGGAUGCUUGCAUCCAGGGGUUGUAGGACUGAUGUUGAGUUACAAAGGUAUAAGAUAGCAGAAACAGUUGGGAAGCUGUUCCAAAGAGGGUGACAGGCCCGUAUGCGAAAUCUUGUACUCUCUAAUCAGGAUCCUGAGUACGGCCCAGCACGUGAAAUUGGGUCGGAAUCUGGGAGGACCAUCUCCCAAGGCUAAAUACUAACUAGUGACCGAUAGCGAACAAGUACCGUGAGGGAAAGGUGAAAAGAACCCCGGAAGGGGAGUGAAAUAGUUCUUGAAACCGUGUGCUUACAAGAAGUUCGAGGCCGUUAAUGGCUGAGAGCGUGCUUUUUGUAGAAUGAACCGGAGAGUUACGAUUGCGUGCAAGGUUAAGGUGCAAAGACUGGAGCCGUAGCGAAAGCGAGUCUUAAUAGGGCGAAUCAGUAC
rnacentral:rRNA from 1 species